ensembl:lncRNA
NNNNNNNNNNNNNNNNNNNNNNNNGGGGGGGGGGGGGGGUCUGGGGUGGGAUGUGGGACUGUGGGUUCCUGAGCGGGUGUCCCACAGGGGAGAAGCCCUACGCCUGCCCCCACUGCAGCCGCGCCUUCGCCGACCGCUCCAACCUCCGCGCCCACCUCCAGACCCACUCGGGCGUCAAGAAGUACCGGUGCCGCGCCUGCGCCAGGACCUUCUCCCGCAUGUCGCUGCUGGCACGGCACGAGGACGGGGGGUGCUGCGGGGCGGCCUGAGCCCCCCCACCCUGCACCCGGAGAAGGCAGCGAGCACUGCGCCGUGCCGUGCCACACCGGGUCAUACGUCACCGUGCCAUGCCAUGCUGCACCGUGCCAUGCUGUGCCCCAAAGAAGGACCGGAGAGCAUCACGCAGCGCUGCCUGGAUGGCCCCUGCACGUCACCGGAGCCCCGUGCCGCUCCCCAAAAGCCCCCCAGGGCUGGAGGAACCUCUUGGUUGUGCCCCCCCGCCGAGUGCUGCGGGCACCAGGGAGGGUUGUUGGGCUUUCGUCUGCGGAGUCAUUAAAAGCGGAGCUGGGCACCGCGGGUGUGAGUGGCGAGGCCGUCCCUUGUCACUGCCGUGCUGCUUGGCAUCGUGUCCCCCCAGCACCAGAGCAUCUGGUCCCGUCGUGCGUGGCCUCACGGGGCAGGAUCCACCCGGGGCUGCCCACCCAGGGCACCCUCCUCCCCAUCUCGCCUCCCCUGCCUGGGUCACGGGGACGCCACUGUGUCCCCAUGGAUGUGUCCCCAUGGAUGUGUCCCCGGCUGGCCUCGAGCCCCAAAACCGGGGACUCGGUGGCUUUUUGGGCUGGGGUCUGUGCUGUGGAGGGGUGUGGGGGCCAAGCCCUGUGCCAACAGCACCCCCCGGCCACUUUUUGUUUGGAAGCCCUAAAAAUAGGAGCAGGGAGAUUGUAUUUUUCUGAUCAUGGAUGUAACCCAAGCACGGGGGCUCUGUGCGCUCCGGGGUGCCCCUGGGGGCUGUCACCCCCAGCCCCCUGUGCAGAAAGGGACUUCUGGCCUGGAUGCUGCAGUAUUUUGGGGAGGAGCGGGGGGGGACAGGACACACCGCUGGCUUGUGUACCCAUGCACCCCCCCAGGGACCCCGAAAUUGUCCCUGAGCAUCCCCAGCAGGGGGAUGGCUGGGGUCUGUGGGACCCCCACCCCCCACCCCACAGUGUUGGGGACAGCCCAAUCACCCUGGCGGGUUGGGGAAGGGGAGGGGAGGAGGUGGGGACGGUUUUGGGGGGGGUGCCAGCAGGAGGGAGCCGCGCAUCCACCCCGUGCUAUUUGCAGCCCAGCCCUGCUAAAUCAGGCCCCCACCUGUCCCGGCGGCAGGGGAAAGAAUCCCACACCCCAAAAUAGCCGCGUGCCUUCCCCUUGCCCAUGGAAAAUGCUUAUACAUCCUGGGGGGGGGGGGCGGGGGCUGCUUGGACCCCGGGAUGGCCCCCGCUGCGCCUGCCAGCACCCAUGGGUGCCAGCGGGGAGCCCCCGCUGUGACAGCAAAGGGGUUCCCCAAAUGUCCC